AACGAACGCUGGCGGCAUGCCUAACACAUGCAAGUCGAACGAGACCUUCGGGUCUAGUGGCGCACGGGUGCGUAACGCGUGGGAACCUGCCCUUAGGUUCGGAAUAACUCCCCGAAAGGGGUGCUAAUACCGGAUAAUGUCUUCGGACCAAAGAUUUAUCGCCUUUGGAUUGGCCCGCGUUGGAUUAGCUAGUUGGUAGGGUAAAAGCCUACCAAGGCGACGAUCCAUAGCUGGUCUGAGAGGUUGAUCAGCCACACUGGGACUGAGACACGGCCCAGACUCCUACGGGAGGCAGCAGUGGGGAAUAUUGGACAAUGGGCGAAAGCCUGAUCCAGCAAUGCCGCGUGAGUGAUGAAGGCCUUAGGGUUGUAAAGCUCUUUUACCCGGGAUGAUAAUGACAGUACCGGGAGAAUAAGCUCCGGCUAACUCCGUG
rnacentral:rRNA from 1 species